GCCAUGAUGACUUUGUUGGUUUGAGCUUUGGCUGAAAUAAAACUUAUCUCCUCUAAGAAGUUCUGAGCUC
ensembl:snoRNA Small nucleolar RNA SNORD61